UACGGGGGGGGCAAGCGUUGUUCGGAAUUACUGGGCGUAAAGGGCCAGUAGGCGGCCAACUAAGUCGGAUGUGAAAUCCCCAGGCUCAACUUGGGAACUGCAUCCGAUACUGGAUGGCUUGAAUUCGGGAGAGGGAUGCAGAAUUCCAGGUGUAGCGGUGAAAUGCGUAGAUAUCUGGAGGAACACCGGUGGCGAAGGCGGCUCGCUGGGACGGUACUGACGCUGAGACGCGAAAGCGUGGGGAGCGAACAGG
rnacentral:rRNA from 1 species